UAUAAUAAAAUUAAAAUAAUUUAAUCAAUUUAAUAAAUUUAUUUUAUUUUUAUUUUAUUUUUAAUAAACUGAAAAGGAAUUUAUUAUUAUAAUUUAAUAGAAAAAUUAAUGUACCUUUUGCAUUAGGGGCUUUUAAAAAAAAAUAAAAUUUUAUUUUUCUCGAAAUAUUUUGAGCUAAAAUUUAAUUUUUCUAAUGUUCCAAUAUUAAAAUAAAAUAAAUUUUAGAGGUGAAAUUCUUAUCAAAAAAUAUAAUAUCUAGUUAAAAAAAAUUAAUUAAAUAUUAUUUUGUAAAUAUUAAUUUAUUUUUUAAAACUACAAAAAAAAGUUUUUGGGAUAAGCUAAAAAUUAUUAAAUUUAUAAUAUUUUAAAAAAUAAUAAAAGAAUUAAAAUUUUUCUAUUUAUUUUUAUAAAUAAAUUAAGUUAAAUUGAAAUAAAAGAAUUUAUUUUUUUAAAUUAAAUUUAAUUAAAAAUUUAAAAAAAAAUGAAAAUAUUAGUAAAAAAAUUUUUUUUUAUUAUUAAUAAUUAAUUAAAAAUUAAUUUAAUUUAAUUUAAUUUUUAAGAACUAGGCAAUUAUUUUUUUUGACUGUUUAAUAAAAACAACGCAUUUAGAUAAACAAUAAAUGCAAAUCCUGCUCAAUGAAAUUUUUUUUAAAUUGCUGUAGUAUUUUGACUAUACAAAGGUAUUGAAAUAAGAUUUUAAUUGAAUGCUAAGAGAAUGGAAUAUCAAAAAACAACUUUCUUAAAAUUAAAAAUUGAAAUUUUUUUAAUUUGUGUAAAAACAAUUAUAAAAAUUAAAGACAAGAAGACCCUAAGAAUUUUUAAAAUUUAAAUAAUACAUUUUUUGUUUUAAUUAAAUUUUAACUGGGGCGGUUAAAAAAUAUUAAAAACUUUUUAAUUUAAAAAUGACCCAUUAUUAAUGAAAAUAUGAUUAAAUACUCUAGGGAUAACAGCGUUAUAUUUUUUGAUAGAUCAUAUUGACAAAAAAGUUUGCGACCUCGAUGUUGGAUUAGGAUACUUUUUUAAUGAAGAUAUUAAAAUAAGAAGUUUGUUCAACUUUUAAAUUCCUACAUGAUCUGAGUUUAGACCGAUGAGAAUCAGGUUGGAUUCUAUCUUAAUAAAAAACAAAUUUUAUUUAGUACGAAAGGAAUUUUAAAAUCUAAUUUUUAGUUUUAUUUAUUUAUUUUAUUUGCAUCAAUUUUUGUAAUU